GUGCCAGCAGCCGCGGUAAUACGGAGGUUGCAAGCGUUGUUCGGAAUCACUGGGCGUAAAGGGGGCGCAGGCGGUUUGUUAAGUCUGGAGUGAAAGCCCGGGGCUCAACCUCGGAAGGCCUUUGGAUACUGGCAAACUAGAGUACGGGAGAGGAGAGUGGAAUUCCAGGUGUAGCGGUGAAAUGCGUAGAUAUCUGGAGGAACACCGGUGGCGAAAGCGGCUCUCUGGCCCGAUACUGACGCUGAGGCCCGAAAGCGUGGGGAGCAAACAGGAUUAGAUACCCUGGUAGUCCACGCCGUAAACGAUGGGUGCUAGAUGUUGGGGGCCUUUGGCUUCCGGUGUCGCAGCUAACGCGUUAAGCACCCCGCCUGGGGAGUACGGCCGCAAGGUUAAAACUCAAAUGAAUUGACGGGG
rnacentral:rRNA from 1 species